GUUAACUCAACAACCACCGACUAAAGUCGGUGGUUGUUGAGUUAUGACAAGGUAAAAAAAUAAAUUUUACUGAAAUAU
rnacentral:ncRNA from 19 species